AUGUAUUCUCUUAACAUUGAUGAUGUUGAUGGCAGCUUGCAGUUGUCUGUUACUCAGUCACAGAGUGUUGAUGGCACUGAGCCUGUUACUCAGGCUGAGGAUGUUCCUAUGCAGUUACAGCUCGAGGAUGAAAGGAUAAGAAAGAAGAAGUGUGAUUUCCAGAGGAGAAAGGAGUUGGAACAGCGUCAAAAGGCUGCCUGUGUUCAACGAAGUGAUCGGGAUGUUGCUCAAGCUCCUGAAGGUACAAACCUGAUGCAAACUCGUUUGACGCAAGUGUUUACUCGUGAUGUAGUUAAUGAGAAGAAAGUUGUUUUGAAGAGGAAGAUGUUAGAUCGAAAUCCUGAUGGCACACAGAGGCGUAGCCCACAUGUGAAAGCUGGUUCCCAACCUGGUAAUAGCAAAGCUGAUGGGGAUAGUGUUGCUGUGAAGAUUGGUCCAAGCAAACUUGGUGGCUCCCCUGUUCGUCGUAGUCCAUGGGUUUUGACAAAUAAGAAGCCUUCUUCGCCUCCACUUCGAGAGCGCUCUUUGUUGAAAGAAAAUAAUAAGCGUAAAGUUCAUCCUGCAAAGGUGAACAAAGGUGUGAAGAAGCGUGCUCGUGUCGAAGCUGAAGAUGUUGUAUCUGAAGAAGAUGAUAUCGAAGUUGAUUCUGAAGAUGAAUUUGCAGUGCCUGUUAGCGUUAUGAGUCCGGUCAAGCCGGUGGGAGGCAAUGCCGGAAAAGUUGCCUUGGACGAAGAUACGAUGACUCUUGACAUGGGUGAGGCCAAUAAGAAGCUUCGCGUCACUAGCGAUGGUAUACAUCAAUUAUUUGGGUUCCCUCGUGGUGGUCGUUCUCCGCCAAGGCCGUCAGAGGAUGGAUAUGACGACGCUCUGAUGAAGUUAAGAACAGAGCUUGACAUUAGCAGGGACAAAGAUAUCAAGACAAAGGAUUUGAGGAAUAAGCUCAAGGUGCUCGUCAAGGAUCCUAGCAAAGAUGAUCUUGCUCUGAAAGUGUUCUUCAUUAUUGUGUUUAUGAAGGUUGUGUUGCCUGGUGCCGCCCCGCGUGUUUCCAGAGAGGCAGCGUUUGAGGGUCUCGUCUUUGAGGACAUGGCUAAUAUGGAUUAUUGUCAGCUGAUGGUUGAUGAGCUUAGAAGGGCUGUUGUCAGGUACCAAGAUGGUGUUACCCUUGGGAAGGCAAUCACAGGCUGUGCUAUAGGGCCUGUACUAAUGUACCUUGACUGCCUUAUCUGUGGCAAGACUGCGGAGCCUGACAUGCGAGUCCCCCACAUAUGUUUCAUGGAUCCUGUCAAGCUUUCUGAUCUGGUUGAUGCAGAUUUGAUAAAAAAGGCAAUGCAGAUCCAAAGACUUGGGUGUUUGGGAAGCUUCCAGUACGAUUUUUAG
rnacentral:rRNA from 1 species